GAUGAACGCUGGCGGCGUGCCUAAUACAUGCAAGUCGAGCGAACAGACGAGGAGCUUGCUCCUCUGACGUUAUCGGCGGACGGGUGAUUAACACGUGGAUAACCUACCUAUAAGACUGGGAUAACUUCGGGAAACCGUAUCUAAUACCGGAUAAUAUAUUGAACUUCAUUGUUCAAUAGUUGAAGACGGUUUUGCUGUCACUUAUAGAUUGAUCCGCGCCGCAUUAGCUAGUUGGUAAGGUAACGGCUUACCCAGGCAACGAUGCGUAGACGCCCUGAGAGCGAGAUUGGACAGCCGGGCACUGAGAAACGGUAGAGACACCUAGGGGAGGAAGCAGUAGGGAAUCUUACGCAAUGGGGGAAAGGGUGACGGUGCACCGCCGCGUGAGUGAUGAAGGUCUUAGGAUCGUAAAACUAUGUUAGUAGGGAAGAACAAAUGUGUAAGUACCUAUGAACGUAUUGACGGUACCUAAUCAGAAAGCCACGGCUAACUACGUG
rnacentral:rRNA from 1 species